CACGAACAAGUUCUAAGUGCUGUUCUUCCGAAUCUGCAUUCAGACGUAAAUUCGUAUUUUUGUACAUUACAGUUUACGUUUACGUUUGAUUCUGCAGAACUGUCUUCCGUGCUUUUACGAACGAGUUUCUUUGCAGUUUACACUUACAUUUUGAUCCUAUUGACAACUGCAAACUGUCCUCUACAAUUUUACGAACGAGUUUCAACAUUUAGACGUAAAACUGCAUUUAGACGUAAAUCGGCUUUCCUCGCACAAUCAUCAUAUCUCAGUUCACGUUUACGUCUUGAUUUCAACUGCAUACUGCCUUCUGUGAGUAUACAAACGAGUUUCAAAGUUCAGACGUAAAUCUACGUUUAAAACGUAAAUCUGCGUUUAG
rnacentral:lncRNA from 1 species